UGGCGGCAGGCCUAACACAUGCAAGUCGAGCGGUAACAUUUCUAGCUUGCUAGAAGAUGACGAGCGGCGGACGGGUGAGUAACGCGUAGAAAUCUACCUAGUAGUGGGGGAUAGCCCAGAGAAAUUUGGAUUAAUACCGCAUACGCCCUACGGGGGAAAGCGGGGGAUCUUCGGACCUCGUGCUAUUAGAUGAGUCUGCGUCGGAUUAGCUUGUUGGUGAGGUAAUGGCUCACCAAGGCGACGAUCCGUAGCUGGUCUGAGAGGAUGACCAGCCACACUGGAACUGAGACACGGUCCAGACUCCUACGGGAGGCAGCAGUGGGGAAUAUUGCACAAUGGGCGCAAGCCUGAUGCAGCCAUGCCGCGUGUGUGAAGAAGGCCUUAGGGUUGUAAAGCACUUUCAGCAGUGAGGAAAGGGGUAUCGUUAAUAGCGCCAUCCUGUGACGUUAACUGCAGAAGAAGGACCGGCUAACUCCGUG
rnacentral:rRNA from 1 species